rnacentral:rRNA from 1 species
UACGUAGGGGGCUAGCGUUGUCCGGAAUCAUUGGGCGUAAAGCGCGUGUAGGCGGUCCGGUAAGUCCGCUGUGAAAGUCGGGGGCUCAACCCUCGGAUGCCGGUGGAUACUGUCGGGCUUGAGUACGGAAGAGGCGAGUGGAAUUCCUGGUGUAGCGGUGAAAUGCGCAGAUAUCAGGAGGAACACCAGUGGCGAAGGCGGCUUCCUGGACCGACACUGACGCUGAGGCGCGAAAGCUAGGGGAGCAAACGGG